UUUAAUAGUUAUUAUAAUUUUAUGAAGGGUUCUUACAACUUCGUAAAUGCUAAAAACUACUUAAUUAUUUAUAGAAGAGUGUGGACUUUAUACAUUAUAAAGAGAUCAAAUCAUAUCCUGUUUGUCUGCAUGUAAAGAGGAAAAAAAGAUAUGGCAGAAAUUAUCAAAUUUGUUUAUGUUAUGAUUUUAUUUCUUUUCUUAUUUCUUGUUGCAGCAGAAGACAUCGGAGGAAAUUGUGAAUGUAUAAGAGAUGAAGAUUGUUUCAAACAAAAAAGAGAUGAAGAUUGUCACAAAGAAUAUUGUAUGAUUUUUUAUGUUCAUAAGUGCGAAAAUUACAAAUGUGUAUGUGCUGGAAUGUUUAAUUGAUUAUAUGCGUACUAAGCCAAAGUACCGUUCAAUAUGUCUUAAAUUGAAAUAUUUCAAGAGAUGUUGCUUA